rnacentral:rRNA from 1 species
CGAGAGCGAACGCCGGCGGCAGGCCUAACACCUGCAAGUCGAACGGACCCUUCGGGGUUAGUGGCGGACGGGUGAGUAACACGUGGGAACGUGCCUUUAGGUUGGGAAUAGUUCCGGGAAAGGGGUGGUAAUGCGGAAUGUGCCCUUUGGGGGAAAGAUUUAUCGCCUUUAGAGCGGCCCGCGUGUGAUAAGCUAGUUGGUGAGGUAAUGGCUCACCAAGGCGACGAUCAGUAGCUGGUCUGAGAGGAUGACCAGCCACAUUGGGACUGAGACACGGCCCAAACUCCUACGGGAGGCAGCAGUGGGGAAUCUUGCGCAAUGGGCGAAAGCCUGACGCAGCCAUGCCGCGUGAAUGAUUAAGGUCUUAGGAUUGUAUAUUCUUUCACCGCGUACGAUAAAUGAC